AUUGAACGCUGGCGGGAUGCUUAACACAUGCAAGUCGAACGAGUGGCGGACGGGUGAGUAAUGUAUGGGAAACUGCCUAGUGGAGGGGGAUAACUACUGGAAACGGUGGCUAAUACCGCAUACUAUCAGAGGGGCCGAUAUGGGAUUAGCUAGUUGGUGGGGUAAAGGCUCACCAAGGCGACGAUCCCUAGCUGGUCUGAGAGGAUGACCAGCCACACUGGGACUGAGACACGGCCCAGACUCCUACGGGAGGCAGCAGUGGGGAAUAUUGGACAAUGGGCGCAAGCCUGAUGCAGCCAUGCCGCGUGUAUGAAGAAGGCCUUCGGGUUGUAAAGUACUUUUAGCGGGGAGGCGUUACCCGCAGAAGAAGCACCGGCUAACUCCGUGCCAGCAGCCGCGGUAAUUC
rnacentral:rRNA from 1 species